rnacentral:rRNA from 1 species
GGACGAACGCUGGCGGCGUGCUUAACACAUGCAAGUCGAACGGAAAGGCCCUGCUUUUGUGGGGUGCUCGAGUGGCGAACGGGUGAGUAACACGUGAGUAACCUGCCCUUGACUUUGGGAUAACUUCAGGAAACUGGGGCUAAUACCGGAUAGGAGCUCCUGCUGCAUGGUGGGGGUUGGAAAGUUUCGGCGGUUGGGGAUGGACUCGCGGCUUAUCAGCUUGUUGGUGGGGUAGUGGCUUACCAAGGCUUUGACGGGUAGCCGGCCUGAGAGGGUGACCGGCCACAUUGGGACUGAGAUACGGCCCAGACUCCUACGGGAGGCAGCAGUGGGGAAUAUUGCACAAUGGGCGGAAGCCUGAUGCAGCAACGCCGCGUGCGGGAUGACGGCCUUCGGGUUGUAAACCGCUUUCGCCUGUGACGAAGCGUGAGUGACGGUAAUGGGUAAAGGAGCACCGGCUAACUACGUG